GGUUAAGUUAGAAAGGGCGCACGGUGGAUGCCUUGGCACUAGGAGCCGAAGAAGGACGGGACUAACACCGAUAUGCUUUGGGGAGCUGUACGUAAGCGUUGAUCCAGAGAUUUCCGAAUGGGGGAACCCACUAUCUUUAGUCGGAUAGUAUCCUUACGUGAAUACAUAGCGUGAGGAAGGCAGACCCAGGGAACUGAAACAUCUAAGUACCUGGAGGAAGAGAAAGAAAAAUCGAUUUCCUGAGUAGCGGCGAGCGAAACGGAAAGAGCCCAAACCAAGAAGCUUGCUUCUUGGGGUUGUAGGACACUCUAUACGGAGUUACAAAAGAAAGUUAUAAAUGAAGCGGUCUGGAAAGGCCCGCCAAAGACGGUAACAGCCCGGUAGUUGAAAUGGCUUUCCCUCCAGAGUGGAUCCUGAGUACGGCGGAACACGUGAAAUUCCGUCGGAAUCCGGGAGGACCAUCUCCCAAGGCUAAAUACUCCCUAGUGACCGAUAGUGAACCAGUACCGUGAGGGAAAGGUGAAAAGCACCCCGGAAGGGGAGUGAAACAGUUCCUGAAACCGUGU
rnacentral:rRNA from 1 species